UUACCGAGUUAGGGUCUCACCGGCCCGAUCUCCCAACCCUUUGUCUACUUGACCAUCGUUGCUUCGGCGAGCCCGUCCUCACGGACCGCCGGGGGGUCUUUGUACCCCUUGGCCCGCGCUCGUCGACAGCCCCCAAAUUUAAAAAAUCUUAACUAAACGUGUCUUGAAUCUAAGUAUUAUUGUUAAAUAAAAACAAAACUUUCAACAACGGAUCUCUUGGUUCUGGCAUCGAUGAAGAACGCAGCGAAAUGCGAUAAGUAAUGCGAAUUGCAGAAUUCCAGUGAGUCAUCGAAUCUUUGAACGCACAUUGCGCCCUUUGGUAUUCCGAAGGGCAUGCCUGUUCGAGCGUCAUUAUCACCCCUCAAGCCCUCGGCUUGGUGUUGGACGGCUUGGUGGAGACCCCCUUUGCGGGCUUCUACCCCUCCCAAAGACAAUGACGGCGGCCUCGUUGGACCCCCGGUACACUGAGUUCUUCACGGGACACGUAUCGGACACAUGGGUUCACGGGACACGGUCUGCCUCCCCUCAGGGAGAAUCUUUUUUUAUCAAGGUUGACCUCGGAUCACGUAGGGAUACCCGCUGAACUUAAGCAUAUCAAUAAGCGGA
rnacentral:rRNA from 1 species